rnacentral:pre_miRNA from 1 species
GGGAGCGCAGGAUCCUGGGCUGUGUCCCCCCGCUCCCUGGGCUCCGGGGCCUGCGCUGCUGGAAUCACGCUCCCUGGGGUGCAGCUCCC